rnacentral:rRNA from 1 species
GGGUCAGGAGGUUGGUCGUGCCACCGGUACGUACUGGUCUCACUGAUUCCUCCUUCCUGAAGAACCGUAAUGCCAUUAAUUUGGUGUUGCGGGGAAACAGGACUGUUACUUUGAAAAAAUUAGAGUGUUAAAGCAAGCUAACGCUUGAAUACAUUAGCAUGGAAUAAUGAAAUAGGACGAUCGAUCCUAUUUUGUUGGUUUCUAGGAUUGACGUA